UUAAAAAGUGGGGGCCGUCUUACAUUCGGGGUACAGACAUUAUACCCAUGCACUUGUGCGCAGCGGUAAGUUAAAGGUUGCUGGUAUCGACUGAGUAAGUUGCUGUGAUCGUGUGCGUCUUUGACACAAAGUGAGUAUUUCAUUGUUACAAGUGUCCACUGUUGUGCCCUUUGUCCGCAGUUUGCCUUGUGUGUGUGCCGUUUGAUUGACAGCACGCUCCUUGAAGUUUGGCUCGCAUCCUACGAGUAGCCGUUACGCAGUGGCACGGCAACUAACGGUCGCCACCAAAUGUAUUUUGUUGUUUCGAUGACUUAUGUUUGGUGUGUUGCCGAGAGUAUCUCAUUAUGGUUAUUUAGUAUAGCCGAACCGUUACGCCCAGUUAGUGAUGUAAUGUGUGCCGUCUACUAGUGUUGUGUGACGUCAGAAGUCGACUUACGUUCUGCAUUUUGGUCUGUUGCAGAACCACACACACUGUCAAGUGACAUGGUGGUACGAGAUGGUGUAAAAUUAGGUAGCGAUUUUGGCCCAGGCACAUUGGCUAUCCCAAAACAUGUAGUAGUUCAAAAUUUCACCAGGAGAUGGUGUUAAAGCUUGACAUAGGGGUGACCUGAUGGAAAUUAACAAAUCUAAUAAAUUAAAUAGUUAGCAAUUGGGAGGACACGACCUGUUCUAGCACGUAGCAACGCACAAUUUUGGAAUAUGAAUUUGCUAUGCCAUAAUUUUAAGAUGCAACAGCUUGAGCAAUAUCAAUAUAUGUGUUUAGGUUGGAAGAACCCAUUAUUGUGUUAAGUACUAUUAUGUGUUGAGAUUGAUCUUUAUCAGACAAGAUGUAUGUGAUUCAUGUUGCAAUGUUUUGUCCAACCUGUAUUUAACAUUGGUGUUCCAUCCAUACCUGAAUGCAUUAAGUUGAGAGGAGACUUAAGGGCUAAUACUAAAAGUAAAGAACGAGCAAAACAGGAAACAUCUGUUUCCGGUCAUUGCUGCUUGAAGCAAGGUUGCCAAGACAACCAGUGGUUUCUAGCUGGCCUGGACAGGCAUCAGCUAAGGAACAUUCUCGAAACUUCCAGAAACUUCCAGGAAGGCCACCUGACGUGCCAGAUGAUGUAAUUCCGAUUAGCUAAUGCCAGAAGCCUAUAAAUAGGUUGCCCGGACACAGAGCGGCCGCGCUUCUUCCUAGUCAGGGCGAUGGCCGUGACGCUGCCCGGAGUAAAAGAACGAAGAUGGAUUUUGCAUUCUUUUUGAAAUUGAACCAAAAUCUACUAAGAUGAAUUUCCAGAGUCUUCGAAUUGGACUUUGUCAAAUUUUAAGCUUCGAGAAAAGCAGGGGAGAAAUCCACCGGGCAGAAAAGGGGAAGUUGCCACUUUUACUUUCUCCUCAUGGCCAGACCUUUCUUCUUUUUUAAACAGAAUUCGGAUUUUGGAACAAAGGAGAGCCGAUCACUCGGCUUGUUCAACCAAAUAGGAUUUUAGACCUUUAGUUUCCUCUCGUUCUGUCUGGGUGAGUCUUGUUAUUUUGUUUUUUCGACUUGCAAUUCUUUUUCUUGCUUAUUCAUUAAAUCUCUUCUUGAGCCUUAAUUCGGUAUUGAUUAUUUCAUAUUAACUAUGUCGAGCAUGGUGUUAUAUGCGGUAAUUACAACUUUAAAAUGUCUUUAUUUCCCUAUCAUAGUCAUUCUUUAAAUCCGUUCAAUUCUUUUUAAAGUGAAGACAGCUUUAAUCCUUAACAUCAGGAAUUGUCAGAUCUGGUUCGAAGUAGUUAUCUUGAGCUCAGCUAGGGCGAGGGCGCUCUAGUAAAUUAACGAAUCCUUGAGGUCUUAACAAAGGCAUCUAAAAAAUAUCCGUAACGUAAUACCAGCAUCAAACAACCGAAGGGAGCCAUCAUUACGGCGCGGUCAUACCGGCAACUUGCCUCGAAUUGAGUUACUCGGCUCGCGCGUCGGAUGACUUGAAAGGGGUUGGCGUCGUAUAGAAAUGACAUUGAUUCUGGUAGAAUUAAUUCAACUCGGGUGGUCAGCUACGGGUGAGUCUCUUCGCCCCGGCUUAUUGAACCCGUUACUGGGGAGCCGGAGGCACUUCGAUAAAAAGUGCCCGCUUGACAUUUUGGCGGCCAACGAGUGGAGGGGGGUUGUGAGUUAAGAUUUAUUAAUAGAUGUUUGCCCGCAGCUCCAAAACGAAUAUGUGUGGAGUUUUUUCAGUUUUUUCUUCCUAGGAACGGUCAUAAUUCCGCUCACCGAUACAAACAAAUGUCAGAACGGCCUUGAGUGACAUAAAAACAGUCGCUUUAAGGAAUAGAGUUUCCUAGAAAAGAUCAUUUUAAAGCAUGGGAGGAUUAGAACUGUUUUGUGUAAUAGUAAACGGUGACCGCUACCCCUUAGCACGUUGCUAUAAGGAUGAGUUUUGUUCGCAGAGUAUUCGGCAGAACUUGCGAAAGCUAGAGGGGUCGGUACAUGGGCACGUUUCUUGCGUGGCGGUACAUUGAAACUCAGAAAGUGCAUCCCGCCGUUGAGAGCAUCAAUUAGCGAGGCGGGAGUUCUCGAAUUGGUGUUCUGAGUAGAGGCGACGCAAAAGGCGCCGUUGAGUAACUAAGAGCUGUAUCGUCCCUAUUCCGAGUGCACACGGAAAGGCUUCAAAAGGAGACAGCUCGAACCUUCAACUAUUUUUUGGAGGCGGCUUGUGAAGCGAAGCUGGCCUCCAGAGUUUGCUAAAUACAUAGUAAAGCUGGCAUGGGAGCGGCGCCUCGCUGUGUAGUGUGUGUGCUUUUUGAGGAAGGAGUAUUAGAGAAUGAAAAAAAGGAAAAAGCUAAAGAGGAAGAGCAGAGCAGGCCGUUUGCCCAGUGGGGGCUGAGUGUCCUCGGGGAGAGUGUUAAAGCGACAGUCUGUGUUUCCCACAGGGUGUUUGAAGCGGGGAGAAGAUGACAUUUGCGCUGCGUUGCUUGUUUGUUUCUAUGUUGUCUGAUGGCGUUAUGUGUUGUAAGACGAAAUUGGCUAUAAUGGUGCACUGAAGAAUAUGCUGGACUGUAGUUUGUCUGGUUUGCACCGCAAAAUGGGAGAAAAAAAAAAGUGGGGGGAUUAGUUGUUUACAGGAACUGGUCUAGCCCUAAUAGAAUUUUUGAUUUUUUUUCCCCCUUUUUUUUAGGACAGAGAGCUUUCUGUCUGAAAUAGCAAAAUUAUGAAAUAAAGACAUUCCAAUCCUAAAGUCAGGAGAACUAGUGGAUUGGCUGUGUCAAGACUAUACAAGUAUUUGCACAGGAAAAUAAGAGAGAUUAGGUUAUAUAAAGUUGAGGCAGCAAGAAUUUUGAUUAAUCUACAUAUUGGCAGCUGUUUUUUUUAAUCCAUUUUCUUUUCUUUUUGGGGAAGUGAGUUAUCAGAAUCUUUGAAAGAAGAAAAAGAGGAAACAGCUGUCUCGAAAAAGGGAACUGUCGACAGCCUUGAGUAAGACCUCUGAGGCUGGCUGACUUAGAAGAAGCUGAACAUUUUUUAAGUUUUUCUUUUUUUUUUUUCUUUCUUCAAAAUUGUAAACAUUUUUGCUGUGAACAAUCAGGAGAUUAUUGAAACGUGACUGAAGAACAUGUGCCAGCAAAAAAUGUUGUAGAGGCAGUCCAAUUGCCACAAAAAGAAAGCUAUAUGCAUGUGUCCAGCACACAAGCACACACACACAGGACUGAUGAGAUGUCAAAAGGAAACGAGUUGCAGACAGGCCCGCAGAAGCAGACACUGCGAAAAGAGACGGAUCAAGAAAGGAUGGAGACCUGCAAGCUCAUUGGGGCUUCAUCCCUAAGAGGGGUUACCGACGUUGGGGAAGAACGCCCGGUGACGCACAGGCAAGAGAAAUUGCUCCCACAGUGCUAGAAAGACUGUUGGAGGUUGUGAACAGACACGCAGGGAGCGUGAGAGUCAUAACCGACAGCCGUUAUGGUGAAGAAGCCCUCAUAGACGUUCUGGCCAUUUGGGAAGAACAUGACUACGGGGGUGUGAAAGGAAGACCGGAUGGGCCCUAGGAGGGGGCCUGCUGGAAGAAUGAAGGUUCAUCGAAACGUCCAAGAAAGGAUAAUUAUAGUUGUAGGAGUUGAGAAAUGGGACAAAACCCCUCGCGGAAAGUGGUCCCAUAUGUGAGUCCGUGAAGAAUGUGGUAACGGCCGUACAUGAAGAUAGGGCACGGAAGAGCCGUGCCUACACGGAAGGAGUUGGAGAAGCUGGAGCUCUGGAUUUCCGAAAGUGCAAUUCGUGCUGCCUUGCAUGAACUGUGUAACAGGUACAGCACAGGUCGCAGAGGACAGCGAACAGACGGAUUGACUUUCAAGCACUGUGCCAUGGGGGCCAGUAUGUCGCUGGACCCAUGUGAGUUGACAGCACAAGAGGUGUGCUUGUGGACUCCUUGUCAAGACAUGAAGGGCUGGAAGCUGUGAGAAGAGCCGACGCCAACAGGAAUCGUGAGCGUGAUCAAGACGCUUGAAGAAUAAAAUCUAGAGGGUGAGCAGUUGAAACCAAUGCCAGCUGACCCGAUUCGAGCUAAGAUGUAACCAAAAGAACCAGAUUACAGCUGACAACUUAGCUGUCCCCGCCUUGGUGUGUUUGGCCGCAUGCAAAGGUGCGGUUAUCAUACGAAGAAAACAGAACGGAAAAAUGGCCGGUCGGGCCCUGGACCUGCUGAGACGAGCCACACGGGGCUGUGUCCCUAGGCGAUGUGACUCUUUUUAUUGGAACAGGGACGACGAAGCACCGUGUGAGCAUUUGUGAGCAUCGUUGUCAAGUGGAAGGAGUCUGAAGUAAAGACCCAAGCCUCCAGGAGGAAGACGACAUCGGUGCUUCGGAGGCAAGACACGUGACGUGGACUGACCUUUGGCGACUCCCGGAGCCUCUGCGGCCCCGGGUCUCCAGAUGUUUUGCAAGAUAAAUAGGUGACCAGUGAGUGUGUAGGCUUACUGUCCCAGCAAUGUUGAGUUGAUGGGGUAACUCCUCAGCAACGGUGAUAUAGAAUGGUGCAAAUUUAGACAGGUAAAUUUGGUAGUUUAACGCACCAGCCAACUUUGCUAAUCUUACAUUAGAUUUGAUUUGCAAAUGUAAGUGGAGGAUAAAUUUGUCAGAGAGUGUCAAAAAGAAUUCGAUAGAAUAAAUCCUGAUUCUAUAAUGUUGAAGGAGUUAGUAAGGACAACUUCCUCCUUUUUUAAAUUGUAAACGUCUUCUUAACAGGGCUCCAAAAAGCCUGUCUGGGAAGGCAUUGGAGAGUGUCAAAAAUAAUUAGAUAGAAUAAGUCCUGAUUUUAUCAUUUUAAAGGAGUUAGUAAUGAUAACUUCCUCCUUUUCAAAUUUUAAACGUCUUCUUAACAGGGCUCCUCAAAGCCUGUUUAGGAAAAUUUGUCAGAGUGUCAAAGUAUAAUGUAGAAUGGUUUUGUAAUAGCAACUACCAUUUUAUUUUUGGGUUUUAUUUUGGAAGCAAAUGAGCGAAACACCUGCCGGCCAGUCCCUCUGCCAUGCGGAGGGAUUGACCGUUCUAUGUUCUAGACUUGUGCGUCUAUGUGUUUCAGACAAGUACGUGUUUUGAAUGCACCCAGGUGCAUUCUUAGUAGAUUGAAUCUGUCGAAAUUUGCCUGGACGGUCGGAAGGUUGUAGUGAGCUGUGGCUUUCCCACAUCCCCGCCGUCUUUAAAUGGCUUGCCCCUAAUGUCAAGCUGGGAGAGCAGGCUAAGAUGAGCGCCUUAGAUGGGGUGGCUACUCUGACCUGAUGACAUCAGCAACGCAGCUCGAGACGUCCCACGGCCCACCGAGACCAUGGGUUGUCCUUGUUUUGAGACAGAGUGAUAUCCUGUCGCACCAUCUGGCCUCUGGUUCACAUGGCUUAGAGCCACCUGGACGGUUCACAAUGCUUCACGUCCCACUGGCGGUGUGGCCGGUGUGUGGCUGUUAGCCUGGCUCAUCAUCCUGUGUCCAAAGACUUCUACACCCGAGUAGAGGGACCCGAUGCUGCUCCUGUCGUGGCUUGCCUCGGACAUUGGUCCGGUGACGGCUUCUUCUUCAAGCCAUCACUGAGGGGGGCGUCAACGUCAACGACAACAUCGACAACAAUGGCAACGGCAGCGACGGCGACAUCAGCGUCCAUCACGGCGGCGUGUUCAUUCAGGACCGCGUGGAGUGCUUGCUUCGGAGGGGCUUGCGGGAUUCAAGGAGGGGAUGUCAAGUGACAUGGUGGUACGAGAUGGUGUAAAAUUAGGUAGCGAAUUUGGCCCAGGCACAUUGGCUAUCCCAAAACAUGUAGUAGUUCAAAAUUUCACCAGGAGAUGGUGUUAAAGCUUGACAUAGGGGUGACCUGAUGGAAAUUAACAAAUCUAAUAAAUUAAAUAGUUAGCAAUUGGGAGGACACGACCUGUUCUAGCACGUAGCAACGCACAAUUUUGGAAUAUGAAUUUGCUAUGCCAUAAUUUUAAGAUGCAACAGCUUGAGCAAUAUCAAUAUAUGUGUUUAGGUUGGAAGAACCCAUUAUUGUGUUAAGUACUAUUAUGUGUUGAGAUUGAUCUUUAUUAGACAAGAUAUAUGUGAUUCAUGUUGCAAUGUUUUGUCCAACCUGUAUUUAACAUUGGUGUUCCAUCCAUACCUGAAUGCAUUAAGUUGAGAGGAGACUUAAGGGCUAAUACUAAAAGUAAAGAACGAGCAAAACAGGAAACAUCUGUUUCCGGUGAUUUCUGCUUGAAGCAAGGUUGCCAAGACAACCAGUGGUUUUUAGCUGGCCUGGACAGGCAUCAGCUAAGGAACAUUCUCGAAACUUCCAGAAACUUCCAGGAAGGCCACCUGACGUGCCAGAUGAUGUAAUUCCAAUUAGCUAAUGCCAGAAGCCUAUAAAUAGGUUGCCCGGACACAGAGCGGGCGCGCUUCUUCCUAGUCAGGGCGAUGGCCGUGACGCUGCCCGGAGUAAAAGAAUGAAGAUGGAUUUUGCAUUCUUUUUGAGAUUGAACCAAAAUCUACUAAAAUGAAUUUCCAGAGUCUUCGAAUUGGACUUUGUCAAAUUUUAAGCUUCGAGAAAAGCAGGGGAGAAAUCCACCGGGCAGAAAAGGGGAAGUUGCCACUUUUACUUUCUCCUCAUGGCCAGACCUUUCUUCUUUUUUAAACAGAAUUCGGAUUUUGGAACAAAGGAGAGCCGAUCACUCGGCUUGUUCAACCAAAUAGGAUUUUAGACCUUUAGUCUCCUCUCGUUCUGUCUGGGAUCUUCUGAAGCCAAACUUGUCAAGACGAGAGCCCCAGAGGAGUGCAUAUUUUGGUAUUUUUUAUUUAUUUAUAUUUGUUCUAGAUUUCAAUGGUUAUCUUGAACAAUGUCAAUAACAGUUUUAAAUAGGCCAAAAUGGUCACACAAACCCUUCAAACAGCACAAAGCGGGAUUUUUGCCUGUCCAUGCACAAAUUAGUGCAAGAAAGACCUCACAACAAACCUGUCCUGCUCAUCAGAAGAGCCUUUAAGAACAACCUACCUGUGUUAGAGCGUCGUCGGAUGCCAAAGUCCCAGCUGGAGGUGAUGUCCAUAGACUGGGAGAGGUCACAAGUGUAACCGUCUGUCAUGGAGCCAAAUCCCUCAUUUAAGGAACUCAAUAUUGCUGACUCAUAGCCGCUACCAGGUACCUGGGUCAGAUGACAUUUCUCCAGAUCCACAUCCUGAUCGAUUAGGACCAUUUCACACAUUCCUGUAUCAUCACUGGUCACGUGGGAUUGUCUGAUGUGGGCAAGAAUAAUAGCUGGAUUGUCCAAGAAGGCCAUUU